rnacentral:rRNA from 1 species
AUUGAACGCUGGCGGCAGGCCUAACACAUGCAAGUCGAGCGGAUGAAGGGAGCUUGCUCCUGGAUUCAGCGGCGGACGGGUGAGUAAUGCCUAGGAAUCUGCCUGGUAGUGGGGGAUAACGUCCGGAAACGGGCGCUAAUACCGCAUACGUCCCGAGGGAGAAAGUGGGGGAUCUUCGGACCUCACGCUAUCAGAUGAGCCUAGGUCGGAUUAGCUAGUUGGUGGGGUAAAGGCCUACCAAGGCGACGAUCCGUAACUGGUCUGAGAGGAUGAUCAGUCACACUGGAACUGAGACACGGUCCAGACUCCUACGGGAGGCAGCAGUGGGGAAUAUCGGACAAUGGGCGAAAGCCUGAUCCAGCCAUGCCGCGUGUGUGAAGAAGGUCUUCGGAUUGUAAAGCACUUUAAGUUGGGAGGAAGGGCAGUAAGUUAAUACCUUGCUGUUUUGACGUUACCAACAGAAUAAGCACCGGCUAACUUCGUG